rnacentral:rRNA from 1 species
GUAAGGAAUAUUGGACAAUGGACGCAAGUCUGAUCCAACCAUGCCGCGUGAAGGAUUAAGGUCCUCUGGAUUGUAAACUUCUUUUAUAAGGGACGAAAAAAGGCUUUUCUAAGUCGUCUGACGGUACCUUAUGAAUAAGCACCGGCUAACUCCGUGCCAGCAGCCGCGGUAAUACGGAGGGUGCAAGCGUUAUCCGGAUUCACUGGGUUUAAAGGGUGCGUAGGCGGGCAGGUAAGUCAGUGGUGAAAUCCUAGAGCUUAACUCUAGAACUGCCAUUGAUACUAUCUGUCUUGAAUAUUGUGGAGGUAAGCGGAAUAUGUCAUGUAGCGGUGAAAUGCUUAGAUAUGACAUAGAACACCUAUUGCGAAGGCAGCUUACUACGCAUAUAUUGACGCUGAGGCACGAAAGCGUGGGGAUCAAACAGGAUUAGAAACCCUAGUAGUCC